rnacentral:snRNA from 1 species
GGAUGUGAGGGCGAUCUGGCUGUGACAUCUGUUACCCCAUUGAUCACCAGGGUUAAUUCGGCUGAUCUGGCUGGCUAGGUGGGUGCCUGCUCCCUUCCUCACGCUCCAUGUGUGUCCCUCCCCAAGCUGUGAGCAAUGUUGGAGGAGGACAGCCUUCCCCAGUUAGAGACUGACAGAUCCUUGGUGGAGGGUAUAGGAGUAACUGCGCUCCCCUACUAGCACCUCCAAACAGAAAGAAUCUCAAUCUCCUAUUACCUGUUUGUUCUCUUUUCUUGUUCCUGUAUACUUCAAACUAUUUCCUGGAAUAUAGUAAUCCUAAACAUAGGGUAGCAUUUUAUUUUCUUGUCUUU